GCUGGAUUUAAUCAAUGUUUUUACCUUUGCCUGGCAACAGGGAAAGGAGACUGAUGUCUCCAAGGCUGAGGGGCACACCUCGCCCUCUCACUCUGGGGGUCUGGUCUCUGGCACCCCUGGCUCUGCCUCACAGGGGAUGGUGGGGGGAUGGGGAGGGGAGCUGGAGGAAAGCCUGCCCCCACCUUUGACACCCCUAGGCCCUUCAGUCUUGCUGCCUCUCCUGUAUCAGCUCUUGAAGGCAUUUUAGCAGUAGAAAAAAGCCCUGGUUUUUUAGCUUGCAGAAGAAUACGCUGGUCAGGCAGGACCUCACUGGAGAUGAGCCUAUGGUCUAAGGCCUUUUUUUUUUUUUUUUCUUUUUUGAGACGGAGUUUCACUCCUGUUGCCCAGGCUGGGGUGCAAUGGCGCGAUCUCAGCUCACCGCAACCUCCGUCUCCUGGGUUCAGGCAAUUCUCCUGCCUCAGCCUCCUGAGUAGCUGGGAUUACAGGCAUGCGCCACCAUGCCCAGCUAAUUUUUUGUACUUUUAGUAGAGACGGGGUUUCACCAUGUUGACCAGGUUGGUCUCAAUCUCUUGACCUCAUGAUCCACCUGCCUCGGCCUCCCAAAGUGCUGGGAUUACAGGCGUGAGCCACCGCGCUCGUUUUCUAAGAAUUUAAAAGAACAUUUGUUGCUCCUCUUCUCCCUCAAAAUACGGCAUGUUCCUUGUAGCAAAGGUAGAAAAAUACGUGUAAGAAGAAGAAAAAAAACUGCCGUAACUCCCUCCAUUAGAAACAUAUCCUGUUGAACCUGGAAUUUCCUUCCAGACUUCUGGCUUUGUGUUUUAGUAGAAAUGGUCUAACUCAUUACUUGCAACAUAUGUUUCACUUAACAGUUCAUGAAUAUGUUUCUCUUGUGUAUGCUACUCUUCUUCCAAAACAGCCUUUCAACUUUUAUUGACCUAUCUGGGAUCUCCUGUCUGGGAUGCAAAUGGUUCAAAAUCUGACAGGUGCAAAGGUGCAUUCAGGGGAAGGUUGCCCCUUUUGUUUUCUGCCCGGGAGCCCACUCAGUUCCGCCCCCUGGAGGCAACGGAUGCUCCUUCACAAGCAGCAAAUUUAGUAGUUGGAUCAUAUUCUAUUGCACAAAUGUCUCAAUAUUUAUUUACUUUUUGAGACACAGUAUACCUUUCCAUCUUGAAUAUUUGGAUGUUAAUGUUUUAUUUUGCUGUUAUACAUAAGGCUAUGAUGAAUGGCCUUCUAGCCAGGUCUUUGCACACAUACUUCCUUUUGUUAGAAUACAUUUUUAGAAGCAAAAUUUCUGGGUCAGAAGGUAGGACAAAUUAAAAAAAAUCCAAUCUCAGGUUUUUACCUCCAAAAUAUCUGUAUUGAUUGGCAUUCCCCCAGCAAUGCACGAGAAUGUCUGUAUCCCCGCCUGUGUUAUUAAAACUCACUUCCUCAAAUGGUGUCAACUUAGUGGGUAGAGGUGCAUGGGAGGCCCCUGACGCUCACUGUGAACUGCACUUUUAAAGGGUGCAAGUAGCACCUUGGGGAAAAAUAGGAGACUAGGUGAUGGCUCCAGGGACAGCAGCUCUGAGUCCCUGGGGAGGGCUGACCUGUGAGAGGAGCAGAGGAGGAGACAAUCUAGUGUGGCUUGAGGUGGUGGCAUCGCCAGUGGGUGCCAAGCCCAGGGACAGGAUUCUUCACUUUUCAGAAACCCCCAGGUAGAAGCGGGAGGACCCCAGGCCAUGAGAAGCAUGAAGGCCACAAAAUAAUCACAGCCUGAGGUCCAGGGACAAUUGGUAUGCAGGCAGAAUUUUUGUUUUUCCCCCGAAAGAGACUGUGGUGUUAUUUUUCUGGCAACUUAAUGGUGUACUAAAAGGGGUCCUUGGAAUAGGGUUGGGGGUGCUGGUGGUGAACACUCUUGGGUGAUGGAAAUGCCUCUCUCUCUAGAGUGUGCCCCAAGAACAGGCUUGGGGUACAGCCGGUGUCCUUGUGUCCUCUGGUGCUGGGCUCUGUCAUUGCUGCUUGGGGAAGGGAGAAUAAAGACUGUUUUCAUGUACCCAGCUGAGAGUGGGGCAAGGGACAGCAAGGGCUCCCUUAUUCAUCAACCCCCAGAUCUCAGAAAGUUUGCACUGAAGGGUGAACCCGGACGUUGAGAAGAGCCAGAUAUUCCCUCGACAUUCACCUCCCCUUCAGGUUUCUCUGGACAAUCCCUGCUUUGACCACGUCUGCCUCAAGGGGCAACUCCUUCACUUUGGCUUUUUCUGUACUACUGCAGACACUGGGGGAGUCUCUAGACGACUUCGUUUCUUCCUUAAAGAAUGUAGGACAAAAAGGAGACAUAAACGAGAUAAUUUGACUUCCAAGAUGCAGUCACGUGUCUUUGGGUGAGGGUUGACAGUCUCCCUGGAUUGUUUCCAGUCUGACUCUCAAGGUCAGGAAUCCAAACCCCUCAGGAGCACCUUCAAGGAACAUGAGCUUCCUUGACCUUCACUUUAGAGAGCGGGCCCCAGAGUGAAACGGGCAGUUCCGGUCCACCCUCUGUGAAUUUGGAGUCAUACGUUGUUCCUACAGCUUGCUUGUCCCCCAGCUAUUAUUUCCUUUGAUAUGUGGUUUUUUCCAAGGCCUAGUUUUGGGCCUAGGUGACCUUUCCCCAGCCUGCAAUCCAGCUGAAGUCUUCAUUAUGCUCUGCGUUGGUUCCCUAGGGCUGCUGUGAAAGAUGACCGACCACAAACGUGUGGUUCAAAACAACAAAAAUGGAUUCUCUCAUGGUUCUGGAGAGGCUGUAAGUUUGAAACCAAGGUGCCAGCAGAGUUGGUUCCUGCUGGAGCCUAUGAAGGAGGUUUCCAGGGCUGCCAGCAAUCCCUGCUGCUCCUUGCUUUUAGACACGCAGCUCCAAUCUCCGCCUCCAGCAUCACACAGCCUUCUUUUCUCGUUUGCAUGUCUUCUCCUCUUAGGAAGAUACCAGCCAUCGGAUUCAGAGCCUACCCCGAUCCCGUAUGACCGCGUCUUAAAUGGGAGCAUCAGCAAAGACUCCAUUUCCAAAUAAGGUUACAUUCUCAGGUGCUGGCUGGACAUGAACGAUUUCAGGGCUACCAUUUAGCCCACUGUUGCAAUGCCCCUGCCUGCAGACUCCUCCAUCCACCCAUCCAUGCCAUGCACUCUACUCUGUUGGAGCCAUUUUUCUUAGACCGUAGGCAGCCGUAGCGCCCCAGCCCUGCUCUCGAGCCCUUCAAUGACGCCUGACGGCCAACAGAAUAAAGUCUUGUGCCUUUGGUUCAACUUUCCAGACUGAACCCUCGUCCGGCUCCAGCGAUCUCUUCUACAUCCUGUUUCUCUGUUUCUUCUGCACCCUCCCUGCCAUCCCAUGGGAAAGGUCUUCUUCUACGUUAACACGCUGCGAAUGCUCUUGUCUCCUGCCUCCUCUGUCUGUUUCUGAGAUGCUCUUUUUCUCCAGUGCCCAUGUCAUAUAUCUUUCCUUGUUAAUGAGAAUGUUUGCAGCCAGACCACGUCAAAGGCCCCACCUCUCUCCGCAGACCAACCCUGGCCCACAUGGUGCCCUCGUCCUCUGUCUGGAGUAAUGCUGUCCUCUGCUGGUGUCAUGUCCAUUUUCCAUUGACAUGUUACCCAGGGACCAACCCGUGUGCUACACUUCUUUGGGUCCUUGGUUUUGACACGGGUGUUUGGAACAUGUGGCUUCCUGGUCAAUGAUUUUGUAUGCUGCUGCUGGUGUGAGCACGCCGAAUUGCUCCAUGCCUGCAGCUCCAUGAUGCCUAAAGCUGGUGGAGAGCCCUGUGCUGAGUUGAAAUGGGAGGAAAGGAGAAAAUUGUUGGUGCUUUGAGAGUCAAGGGUGGUGGUCUUUCAAAGGAAGAGGGGACUGGCAGAAUCACUGCAGAAGGAAAUUCUCGAGGCUGGAUGCCAAGAGGUGCCGUAGAAAAGGUUGUCAAGAUACAUGUGGUGGGGAACCACUGCUCCCAUCCUCCUUGGGAGACAAUUGGUGAACGACAUAGUUGGCAAAGCAUAAGGACUGGGAGGGAAGCGAAAGAGGAGACAGAGUACAGUGAACACAAUAGAUGUCAAUGGCCUCCACUAUCAGGUUUAACAGAUGAUUUGAAACUUUAAAGUAACAAGGAAGUUUUUAUUCCUGUAAUUGUUAGUAGCGUCUUUUGCAGCUCCUCCUACAUGGCAGUGACUGGCCAUUGGCAGCUGGGUCUGCAAGCUCUCUUCUAAAAUGUCGCAUCUCUGUGGGGACACAUGAGGAGCUUAGUUCUUCCAUCUGGAAGCAGGUUUCCUCUAAACCUUACUCUGUCCUUUUGAUCUAUGUCUCAGCUGCAUCACAAUCUCGUCGAUAUUGCCCUUUGGGAUCAAAAGGUGUCCACCAAGAAGAAAGAGCAGAGUUUUAGAGAACUGGGGUGAGAAUUCUGGGCAGCUGGAAGCCACCAGGGCCUUUUUCUUUUUCUCUUUUUCUUUUCUUUCUUUCUUUCUUUUUUUUUUUGCUGGGUCUUGGCAGUACUCCUUUAUAUAGUAGGGUCAGAAACUCAGGCUAGAGAAAGUAUCCGGAAAAGAUUGUCUGCCUUUGCGACAGUUUGUGGAUAACUCAUAAUUGUAGUUCUGAUCUUGUCAAUCCGUCUUACAACUCUAAAUGUGUGCUCUUACCUGGCUACAUAAAUACCCAUCUCCUUAUAGAAGCAGGCAAUCUUCAAUACAUUAAAAAAUAAUAGUUUUGUGGACAUUCCAUCUAAUAGGAAUGCCAGUUUACCUCCUGCUCUGUUGCCAGUCUGGCCAUUUCAGCAGUCACUAUUCAGCACUGGAGGAGGAAUUCAGUUCGGGUUCCUUUGUCAGUAAGCCUUCCAUGCACCAUAUUUGUUUCCAGGUCCUGAUGGCAAUUCUUCCUGUUCUGAAAAGAAUGAACAAAAGGAUCAACUCUCAUUUGAGUUUGUCCCACUCAUCUACGUAAAGAAUAUCCAUGAGUUUGAAAUGUCUUUGAGAAUUAGGAAGGGGAGAGGAGAUAGGAAGCAAAGGAUGUAUUCUUGAAGAUCCUGCUCUUAAGCAGUAAUUCUCUCUAGCACUCCUUAUUACUAGAAUUUUCCAUCCACCUCUAACAAAAGAAAAGCACAAAGAACAUUUAAUACAAAGCAAAACAUGAAAGGAUCUUUGGAUGGGUCAGUGUCAUGGCUGUGACUUGGAAUUUUUCACUAGAUUAGAAAAAAAAGAAAAGCCACAUACACCCAGGUAGUCUCGGUGUCACGUCUGACAUCAUUGCUCCAAUAUUAUGAGGCUGAAGCAGUUGUGGCUGAUUGAUGUCACUCUUCUAGCCAUUUGCUGUUUCCACAGAGAGAGGCUGGGUUAAUCCAACCCCAGUCUAACUUUGGAGGCAUCAAGGAUUCUAGGCAGUGUCUCCCGGGUUUCUUUUUCCAAGCAAAUUCCUGGACAGAACCAAUGGCAUUCAUGUGUCUUUGCAUCCGCAGAGACCAGCUCAGGAACUGGCACGUAACACGCUGACAAAUUGUUUUGUUUUUGUAUGAAAGCAAUUUAAAAGCAGUAAGAUCCUCUGUAAAUACAGGCCAUUACACUUGUGUUUUUCUUCUGAGCAUGCAAAUAUUUUCAGUGAGGCUGCAGCGCAGAUUCCAUAGCCAUGGCGGCACCUAGAGCUCUGUGAUGGGAGGCAGAGGAGAUGGAAUGCUGGUGAGAAGAGGGAGAUGUGGCGUGGAUGUGAGGGAUGAGGGUGAACUACUUUCCUAUGGCUGCUGUUACAAAUUAGCCACAGGAUAAACAGGUUAAAACAGUACAGAUUUAUUAUCUCACGUUCUGGAAGACAGAAGUUCAAACUGCAUCUUACUGGGCUGAAACAAAAGUGUUGGCAAGGCUGUGCUCAGCAGGCUCUAUAUACAGCAGGAUCAUUUUCUUGCCUUUUCUCAUUUCUAGAGGCCACCUGCACCCUUCAGCUCAUGGCCUCUUCCUCCAUCUUCAAAGCCAGCUUCUUCAAAAUUGUCUCUGAUCCUGCCACUACAUCUCCUGCCUCCCUCUGUCACUUUUAAGGCCCCUGUGAUUACAGUGAGCUCACCCUGAUAAUCGAGGCUAAUCUCCCUGUUUUAGCGUUAGCCUAUUAGCAAUCUAAAUUCCACCUGCUCUGUUAAUUCCCCCUUUGCCAAACAACGUGACAUAUUCACAAGUUCUGGGUAGUAGGGGAUGGGCAUCUUUGCGGGGGGCAUUGUUCUGUCUGUCAGAGAGAAGUGCUCAGAGAUGCUGGAGUCCAGGGUCCUCAUUGUACACCUGAGGAAGCAUGGGCUCAGAGGAUUUAUGUGAAUUCCAACAGUUUUCUCCAUGACAGGAGGAGAAUCCUUUUCUCCUUUUGAUCCUGGAAGAUCUGUCCAGAAGCCCUAAUCAAGACUCAGCAGGAGGCUGGUGGCCUCCUUUCCCUCCCUCCAGUUCUUCCUUCUACAUCAUGCUUCCUGGCGUUCCCACUGACUGAUUUGCUAGGGGGCCAGACUGAGGGGACAGUGACCAUCGCGUCAAGUCAGAGAAGGGAUUUGAUGCAUCUAGUAGAAGCUUAUUGUUCUGGCAGAAGCACAAGCUCUUAGAGGUGCAGCUGCUGGGUGUGUCUUACUGGGGACACUGAGCUCAGUGACCGUGGGCCCUGAGAGUUUGAAAUCCUGGAAUUUCUCCCAAAGCAAAGUCCAUGUAGGGAAGCUAAAGUGUGAGUCUUACCCAACUGGUUUGCAACAGACAGUGACAUUUGCUGCCUGGGCAGCUGCCGUGGGUGCUUGGGUACCCUACUGGACAAGGACUGGCCUCAGCAAAAAACAAAGGUCUCAGCUGCCCAGUGUCCUCUGAGUGGAUGCUGGUGACUCAGGUACGGAGCCCAGGUGUAAGGCAGCAGGUGGUCCAGGAGGCACCAGAAGAGGUCUCCUGUGAAGGUCAGGGCCAGAGAGGAAGGCACAGGGAACCUACCUCAUGAGACUUUCACUUGCAAGGAGCAACCCAUGAUGAGGAGGGAGAAUGGCUGGGGCGUUGCAUCUCAUCCAUAAGGGCACCUUUCCCAAGGUACUUCAUCUAGUGUGGCUGCACAGUCCGUACCCCUUCUCACUGGACAAAGAGCUGGCAGCUGCCAAGAAUGCAACUUCUGACCAAAAUCCCAUUAGGGAUCAAGGACCCAAGGACCCAAGACCUUCUUUCUUGGAAAGUGAAUUCCUCAGAACUCUGAGAUGAUGCAGUCUCCGGAGAAUUACGAGGGACCCAGGCAGAUGGUUGGUGGUGGAAACAUCACCUCAGUAUAGUACUACAGAGUUUCCUUUCACCCCCAACAGCCGAUGGAUGGGAAAGGAGCCCUGGCUUCUAGGGGCGAAGAGUGAGAAGUGAAGCAGGUGUCUACCGUCCAGCUGCAGACAAGGAGGCAGGGCACCUGCCACCGCAAAGAAGAGUCAGUUUAGAAGCACAGCAGCUGCUGCUUUCAGGGGGUUUCCAGCUCAUUCCUCCUGGGACCUGGCAAGAGUUGCACCAUCAAGGCUGCAAGAGGUUCCUGACGACUUCUGAUAUGUACAGACGGGAAUAAGAGAACCCAGCAGAAAUGGAGGCAGAGGCAAAAGGUUCAGAGGAAAAUGUCAAUGGAAAGCAGCUAGCAUGGAGACCCCACAGUGUUCUUCCCUCUAGCAGUCUGGUAUUAUCUGGCGCUGAGAUGCUGGCUAACAUGGUUGGAACAUUUGUUGCCUCCAAAUCUCAUGUGAGAAUGUGAUCCCCAGUUUUGGGGAUUGUGUCUACUGGGAGAACUUUGGGUCAUGAUGGGGGGCUUGGUGUCCUGUUCACAGGAAUGAAUGAGUACUCACUCUACUAGUUUGCUGAAAAGCUGGUUGUUUAAAGAGACUGGCAUCUCCCCCACUUUCUCUCUUGCUCACCCUCUUACUGUGUGAUAUACCUGCUUCCCUUUGCUAUCCAUCAAGAGUAGAAGCUUCUUGAAGCCCUCACCAGAAACAGAUGCCAACACUGUGCUUCCUGUACAGCCUGCCAUACCAUGAGCCAAAAUAAACCUCUUUUCCUGAUCAAUUA